ACUCCUACGGGAGGCAGCAGUGGGGAAUUUUGGACAAUGGGGGCAACCCUGAUCCAGCCAUNCCGCGUGAGUGAAGAAGGCCUUCGGGUUGUAAAGCUCUUUCAGCUGGAGUGAAACGGUGCGCUCUAACAUAGCGNGCUAAUGACGGUACCAGCAGAAGAAGCACCGGCUAACUACGUGCCAGCAGCCGCGGUAAUACGUAGGGUGCGAGCGUUAAUCGGAAUUACUGGGCGUAAAGCGUGCGCAGGCGGAUUNNUAAGNNAGANGUGAAAUCCCCGGGCUUAACCUGGGAAUGGCNUUUNNNACUGNNAGNCUAGAGUGCGUCAGAGGGGGGUGGAAUUCCACGUGUAGCAGUGAAAUGCGUAGAGAUGUGGAGGAACACCGAUGGCGAAGGCAGCCCCCUGGGAUGACACUGACGCUCAUGNACGAAAGCGUGGGNAGCAAACAGGAUUAGAUACCCUGGUAGUC
rnacentral:rRNA from 1 species